ACUCCUACGGGAGGCAGCAGUGGGGAAUAUUGCACAAUGGGCGAAAGCCUGAUGCAGCGACGCCGCGUGCGGGAUGGAGGCCUUCGGGUUGUAAACCGCUUUCAGCAGGGACGAGGCCGCAAGGUGACGGUACCUGCAGAAGAAGCCCCGGCUAACUACGUGCCAGCAGCCGCGGUAAU
rnacentral:rRNA from 1 species